UUAACAAAGUGGAAUAAGCAGGGGUCUAAACUCAAAGGCAGGUUUAAUCCCUGGAAAGUCAAGUUUGACAAAAAGUAGUAUCAUGGGAAGCCCCAUGAUA